ensembl:lncRNA
GAUGGUACUUCACAGACAUUUUGAGUGUACCAUAGUAGUACCCGGAGGUUAUACAAGGUAUUACGGCACUAUAGAAACGCUAUAUAUAGUGAAAUAUAAUGUAUGUUGUACUAGAGUGCUAUACAGAGGUGUAUAUUGUACUAGAGUGUUAUACAGAUGUGGUAAUAUUGUACUAGAGUGCUAUACAGAGGUGUAUAUUGUACUAGAGUGCUAUACAGAGAUGUGUAUACUGUACUAGAGUGCUAUACAGCGGUGUAUAUUGUACUAGAGUGCUAUACAGAUGUGUAUACUGUACUAGAUGCUAUUACAGAGGUGUAUAUUGUAUUAGAGUGUUAUACAGAUGUGUAUAUUGUACUAGAGUGCUAUACAGAUGUGUAUAUUGUACUAGAGUGUUAUACAGAUGUGUAUAUUGUACUAGAGUGCUAUACAGAGGUGUAGAGGCCUAUGGUAGUAUAUGAGUAUUAAUUCAGUGUUAUUAUGGAGUAUUAUAGCACUUGGGUAUUAUAGGUGAGCACCGUUUCUCUUUGUGAGGUUUGUAAAGGCCUCCGAGCUUCAUUCAUCCCUGCGAGUCCUGACAUUCAGCCACCUUGACACGAUAAAAACCUCUUAAUAAGGCCCGAUCGGUGAUACUGACUGAAUGUCGAUAGAGUCUGAUACCACACGCCCACCUCUCCAUUAUAUAGAAAGUGCCGGUAAAGGGGGUGUGGCGUGUGUCCCUUUUAUUUCCCAUUUCCCUCCAAAAAAAGGAAAGACUGAAAAGUAAGCAACGACUAGCAGGGGGAGAAAUGAGGCAAGUAUCAUACCCCAACACUUGAAGAUAUGGAUGAUAUACAUCACGAUAUUUACAGUGGUUUUAAACCAACAUACUGCCAGGAAAAUUGUAGCAGAAAAAAAAACAAAACAAAACAAAAAACAGAGUUCAAUUAUAUUUUAAAUAAACUUUUCUUAUAUUAUUUAGUUUAUAAUCUAGCUAUGUUUAUUUUGUUCCCUCGUGGCCAUCGCAUUUAUUUAAACGUCAGCAAUAGGUGAAAUAGAGCUAGUGAAACAAACAUAUUUGAUGUUAAGCUCCGCCCAUUUCUCAAUCGUGUCCACGAUAUCUCCCUGAAAAGCUCGUUUCCUGCUUUACAUGUCAAGUCUUUCUUCAUGACAGACAUGUCUAUUUCCUUUAUACACAAUAAGCUGAGGACAUAAUAUCACAUAUUUUUAAAUAAAUAAAAUAAAUAAAUCAAAAUAUUUUCCCUCAAAAAAAAAAAUGUAAAAAAAUCUGGUUUUCUUAAUGACCCGCAUUCAUGAAAUGUAUUUUUUAUUAUUAUUAUUAUUAUUAUUAUUACUAUUAGGAAGCAUAUUAACAAUGGGAUUACUCAAAUUUGUCUUAGAUUUUAAAAACAUUUUUAAGAUUUUAUAGUAUGUAUGAUAAUUUCAUGAUUAAGCAAUAAAAAAGAGAAUAAUUUAAUAAACCGUCCUGUAAAAGACUGUUUCUAGAGAGAGUCUUCACCAUGAUUAAACUCUAGCAUAGUUCAUUUUAGUUUGGCAAAUUUAUGCAUAUUCAAUUCAGUGAAGCCUGAUUUGCAUAAACAGACAUCUUUUUUCUUUCUUUUUUUUUUUUUUAAUCUUCAAAUAUAAUUAAAAAAAAAAAAGCUUGGAAGUAAAUUAGGAAUCAACUGGAAUUGAUUAAUUGUGAUAAAUCUGUUGUUGAUGCUAGUGUCUUGCUUUAAAUCUCCACAGUUCACAAAAUUGAAAUUUAUUUAUGCAAAUGAGGCUCCAUGUAAUUAAAUAUACAUAAAUUUGCAUACUUAAUAAAACUGAUAAGCUACCCUUUGGAUGAUAUUAGAAUGAAAACGUUUAUUUCACUGUACACAGAGGAGGAGAUACAUUUUACUGAUGAAGCAUGAGAGAGGGGGUGGCGUACACACACACACACACACACACACACACACACACACACAUACACACACCAACCUGAACCCACUCCACUAUCUCUCUGCCUCUAUCGCUCCACCGAGACCAAAGAGUAGGCGAGAAACGCUGACAGGGAGGGAUGUGUGAGCAUCUGUGUGUAUGUGUGUAACUACUGUGUGUGUGUGUGUGUGUGUGUGUGUGUGUGUGACUCAGGAUAAGUGUGUGUGUAUGUGUUCGCUCACAUUAGCGUAAGUGUGUGUUAAGUUUGCGUGAGCAGGCAGCUGACUGUGCGUGGGAGCUUACUGGGUGCUAGCAUAUGUAUGUAGAUAUUUCUGUGUGUGUGUGUGUGUGUGUGUGUGUGGUGUGUGUGUGUGUGUGUGUGUGUUCAUUUAUUGUCAGGGUUUGAAUGUUUUUUAAAGCCACAGGGCUUUUAGAUCCUCAUUAAUAAACUGCUGGAUCAAGCAGUGACUCACCAGCAAUAAAGCGGCAACACCAACUGUGA